rnacentral:rRNA from 1 species
CACUUCUAAGGAAGGCAGCAGGCGCGCAAAUUACCCAAUCCUGACUCAGGGAGGUAGUGACAAGAAAUAACAAUAAACCGGCUUAUGCCGGUUUAAUUGGAAUGAGUACAAUUUAAACAUCUUAACGAGGAACAAUUGGAGGGCAAGUCUGGUGCCAGCAGCCGCGGUAAUUCCAGCUCCAAUAGCGUAUACUAAAGUUGUUGCAGUUAAAAAGCUCGUAGUUGGAUUUCUGUGGGGACGGAGCGGCCGGCCGCACAUCGCGGUUCGAGCUAGCGCUUUCCCUACAUCCUGCCGCGAACCGUGCUACCAUUAGUUUGGUGGCGCCGGGGAUCGGCUCGAUUACUUUGAGAAAAAUAGAGUGUUCAAAGCAGGCCACACGUCUUGAAUAAGUUAGCAUGGAAUAAUAACUAAGGACUUCGGUUCUAUUUUGUUGGUGUUCGGGACUGAAGUAAUGAUUGAUAGGGACAGUUGGGGCGGUCUGUAUUCCAAAGCGAGAGGUGAAAUUCUUAGACCUUCGGAAGACAAACAGCUGCGAAAGCGUUCCGCAAGGAUGUUCCCUUUGAUCAAGAACGAAAGUUGGGGGAUCGAAGACGAUCAGAUACCGUCGUAGUCUCAACUAUAAACUAUACCAGCUAGGGAUCGGCCAACGUUAUUUCAAACCGACUUGGUCGGCACCUUAUGAGAAAUCAAAGCAUCUGGGUUCCGGGGGGAGUAUGGUCGCAAGGCUGAAACUUAAAGGAAUUGACGGAAGGGCACCACCAGCCGUGGAGCCUGUGGCUUAAUUUGACUCAACACGGGAAAACUUACCAGGUCCAGACAUAGUAAGGAUUGACAGAUUGAUAGCUCUUUCUUGAUUCUAUGGGUGGUGGUGCAUGGCCGCUCCUGGUUGGUGGAGUGAUUUGUCUGGUUGAUUCCGUUAACGAACGAGAUCUCGACCCUUAAAUAGGUGCCCGUGUCGAAUGUAGUUUCGCCUCCGCGUACUUGUACGAUUGGAGCGGGACGAGACUGCGGGAAUACUUCUUAAGGGGACUGUGUGCGUCUCUAGCACGCGGAAGAGCGAGCCAAUAGCAGGUCUGUGAUGCUCCUAAAUGUCCUAGGCUGCACGCGCACUACACUGAUGCAAUAAACGAGUCUGAGUGCCUUCUGGCAACCUACCUGGAAGCGGGUGGGAAAUCUUUUGAACUUGCAUCGUGAUGAGGAUCGACGAUUGCAAUUAUUUUCCUUGAAUGAGGAAUGCCUAGUAGGCGCAAGUCAUCAGCUUGUACUGAUUACGUCCCUGCAAUUUGUACACACCGCCCGUCGUUGCUACUGAUUGGCUGUAGGGUAGAGGUGGGCGGAUUUCGAGCAUUUGGGGUGACCCUUUUGCUUGGGAGAAACCUACCAAUAUUCUGCAGCUUGAAG